rnacentral:rRNA from 1 species
GAUGAACGCUGGCGGCGUGCCUAAUACAUGCAAGUCGAGCGAACAGACGAGGUUCUUGCUGCACUGGCGUUGGCGACGGACGGGUGAGUCACAAGUGGCUUACCUACCUCUAAGACUUAGAUAACUUCGAGAGACGGGAGCUACUGCCAGGUGAUAUAUUUGACCGCAGGGUUCUGUAGUGAAUGGGGGUUUUGCUGUGGCUUAUCGGUGGAUCCGCGCUUCAUUAGCUAGUUGGUAAGGUAACGGCUUGCCAAGGCAACGAUGCGUGGCCGACCUGAGAGGGGGUUCGCCCCCUCUGGAGCUGAGACGCGGCACAGAGUCCGAGGGGCGGCAGAGGUAGGGAAUCGUGCGCAAUGGGCGAAAGCUUGCAGGAGCAAUGCCGGGCGAGUGAUGAAGGUCCUCGGAUCGGAAAACUCUCUUAGUGGUGAAGACCAAAUGCGUAAGUAACGAUGCACUGUGUGACGGUACUUGGUAAGAAAGCAACGGCUAACUACGUG